UCGAUCUAGAAACGGUCAGGAACGCUGGCGGGAUGCUUUACACGUGCAAGUCGAACGGCAGCACGGACUUCGGUCUGUGGUGGCGAGUGGCGAACAGGUGAGUAAUGUAUCAGACGUGCCUAGUAGCGGGGAUAACUACGCGAAAGCGUAGCUAAUACCACAUACGCCCUUCGGGGAAAGCAGGGGACCUUCAGCCCUCACUAUUAGAGCGGCCGAUAUCGGAUUCAUAGCUAGUUGGUGGGGUAACGGCUCACCAAAGGAAGCGGCGAAUCGUAACUGGUUUGAGGACGACCCAGCCACACUGGACUGAGGCCGCGGCCCAGACUCCUACGGGAGGCAGUGGGAAUUUUGGACAAUGGGGAAACCUGAUCCAGCCAUCCCGCGUGUGCGAUGAAGGCCUUCGGGUUGUAGCUUUUGGCAGGAAAAGAAACAGCACGGGAUAAUACCCCGUGCAACUGACGGUACCUGCAGAUAAGCACCGGCUAACUACGUGCCAGCAGCCGCGGUAAUACGUAGGGUGCAAGCGUUAAUCAGGAAUUACUGGGUAAAGCGUGCGCGGUGGUUCGGAAGAAGAUGCUUGAAAUCCCAGAGCUUAACUUUGGAACUGCAUUUUAACUACCGAGCUAGAGUGUGUCGGGGAGUGGAAUUCCGCGUGUAGCAGUGAAAUGCGUGUCAUCACGGAGGAACACCGAUGGCGAAAGGCAGCCUCCUGGGAUAACACUGACGCCAUGCACAGCGUGGGAGCAAACGGGAUUAGAUACCCUGGUAGUCCACGCCUAAACGAUGUCAACUAGCUGUUGGGGCCUUCGGGCCUUGGUAGCGCAGCUAACGCGUGAAGUUGACCGCCUGGGAAGUACGGUCGCAAGAUUAAAACUCAAAGGGGUGACGGGGACCACUGGCGGUGGAUGAUGUAUGGAUUAAUUCGAUGCAACGCGAAAACCUUACCUACCCUUGACAUGUCUGGAAUCCGAAGAGAUUUGGGAGUGCUCGCAAGAGAACCGGAACACAGGUACUGCGCUGUCGUCAGCUCGUCGUGAGAUGUUGGGUUAAGUCCCGCAACGAGCGCAACCCUUGUCAUUAGUUGCUACGAAAGGGCACUCUAAUGAGACUGCCGGUGACAAACCGGAAGGUGGGAGAUGACGUCAGAGUCCUCAUGGCCCUUAUGGGUAGGGCUUCACACGUCAUACAAUGGUCAGGACGAAGGAGGGUCGCCAACCCGCGAGGGGAGCCAAUCCCAGAAACCCGAUCGUAGUCCGGAUCGCAGUCUGCAACUCGACUGCGUGAAGUCGGAAUCGCUGGCAAUCGCGGAUCAGCAUGUCGCGGUGAAUACGUUCCCGGGUCUUGUGCACCGCCCGUCACACCAUGGGAGUGGGUUUUACCAGAAGUAGUUAUUUCUUCGUAAGGAGGGCGAUUACCACGGUAGGAUUCAUGACUGGGGUGAAGUCAUGGCUGGGUAA
rnacentral:rRNA from 1 species